AGCAGCCGCGGUAAUUCCAGCUCCAAUAGCGUAUAUUAAAGUUGUUGCAGUUAAAAAGCUCGUAGUUGAAUUUCGGGAUCAAUAUAUCGGUCAUGCUUAGGUAUGUACUGGUAUUAUUGAUUUCUCCCUUCUGAAGAACCAUGAUGUCAUUAAUUUGAUGUCGUGGGGAAUCAGGACUGUUACUUUGAAAAAUUAGAGUGUUUAAAGCAGGCAUACGCUUGAAUACAUUAGCAUGGAAUAAUGAAAUAGGACGUUUGAUUCUAUUUUGUUGGUUUCUAGGAUCGACGUAAUGAUUAAUAGGGAUAGUUGGGGGCAUUAGUAUUCAAUUGUCAGAGGUGAAAUUCUUGGAUUUAUUGAAGACUAACUACUGCGAAAGCAUUUGCCAAGGAUGUUUUCAUUAAUCAAGAACGAAAGUUAGGGGAUCGAAGACGAUCAGAUACCGUCGUAGUCUUAACCAUAAACUAUGCCGACUAGGGAUCGGAUGAUGUUAAUUUUUAAUGACU
rnacentral:rRNA from 1 species